rnacentral:rRNA from 1 species
UAAUACCGCAUAAGAUUGUAGCUUCGCAUGAAGUAGCAAUUAAAGGAGCAAUCCGCUAUGAGAUGGGCCCGCGGCGCAUUAGCUAGUUGGUGAGGUAACGGCUCACCAAGGCGACGAUGCGUAGCCGACCUGAGAGGGUGAUCGGCCACAUUGGGACUGAGACACGGCCCAGACUCCUACGGGAGGCAGCAGUGGGGAAUAUUGCACAAUGGGGGAAACCCUGAUGCAGCAACGCCGCGUGAGUGAUGACGGCCUUCGGGUUGUAAAGCUCUGUCUUCAGGGACGAUAAUGACGGUACCUGAGGAGGAAGCCACGGCUAACUACGUGCCAGCAGCCGCGGUAAUACGUAGGUGGCGAGCGUUGUCCGGAUUUACUGGGCGUAAAGGGAGCGUAGGCGGACUUUUAAGUGAGAUGUGAAAUACCCGGGCUCAACUUGGGUGCUGCAUUUCAAACUGGAAGUCUAGAGUGCAGGAGAGGAGAAUGGAAUUCCUAGUGUAGCGGUGAAAUGCG